AAAGUUUGAUGUUCUGGAAAAACCCAAAAUGUCCCUCUAGCCAUAUGUUGAGCCACGUGGAUGCUCUCUUUGAAAGGCUUGCUCUUUCUAUGUUACCUUCCACGAACUCAUCUUUCUUGCAACUGAACCAACAGCUGUUUCGUUUUUUCUCUUCCUUGGAAACCCAAUUUUACUGUUUGCUUUACUCAACCUGUCUUAUCAUUGCAGUUUCCUCUUUCCCAUGCCUCUCCAAUCUUAGUCUGUCUGUUUCUUCCCCUUUUCUCCCUCCUCAUUUCUCAUCAAACUGUGCUUCAUCACAUCUUCUCAAUAUCUCACCUUCCCGCAGCCACCGUAUUUACAAUAGUUUCGAACACUUUCAUGUCUUGGGGUUUCCAGAUCUGACACUUUCAUGGCUUAGGAUUUGCAGAUCCGUCACUUUUUGUUUAUGAAAUUUCUUCGAUUUGUAUCAGUUUUUUGUUGAGUAGUUAGACAUUAUUGUGUCUGUGGUUUUGUAUGUAUUUCUGAUUUGAAUCGGUUUUUAUGUUUUGACAUUCAGAUCUGUAGCGGCAUCAACGGGUUACCGACGAUUAGUGUGGUGGUGGUGGAAAUGGGUUUCCGACGACGAGUGUGGUGGUGGUCCGAUUCGAAAAGGUUUAUGUAUGACAUUUUCAAAUUAGGUUUCGUUAUUAACUUUCUUUUGUAGAAAGUGCAGGAUUUAAACUAAUUAUUAUAGAUCUGAUAUUUGUUUUAGUUUUGUGGCAUAUUCGAGUUUAAACAGGUAACCUGCAAAGUGUUUGAUGAAAGUUCCAAACCAAUCACUUUCUUAGCUUUUCUGUUUUAGAUUCUCCAAAUGAAGUUGUUUUCGUUUCUACUCUGUUAUUGUUUUGAACUUCACCAAAAUUUUCUGGUUUUGCAGUGGCGAGUCCGGUUUAAUCAACUACAAAUUAUUCAUGGAGGCGGGUGAUAUCGUUUAGUCUUAGUGUUGUUAUGUUUUGGUCUGAUGAAUUGAUGCAGGUAUAAGUUCAUAUUUCUGGUGCAUAUCCAUAUCAUAAUCUGUACUAACACCUUUGAAUCAUGGUAAUGCAAGGAAAUCUUCAUGUUGAAUGCUAAAUGGCAUUAGUUUUGGAUCAAUCUUAGAGCUAUUUUAGAUGAUAUCAAUAUGCCGCCAUUGUAACAGAUUGAUAGUGGCAGAAUUCAAACUCGAGGUCUCCCAAACAAUUCGUCCUUAACUGAAGCUCAUUAAUCAUUCGAGCCCAACCACUUGGUUAUAAUGCUAGAAAUUUAAUUAGUGCAUAAAGUUACUUAAAUAAUUGCUUGCUAUUAUUUUUAUUAAUUUAAAUACCACUUUGAUCCUAAGUACCUGUUGAUCUGAUUUGAAAGUUUAAUUUUUUCGCAUCUCCUAUUUGACAAUCUUCUCUCCGGCAGGUAUCGGGUACAGAAUGAUAAAAAGGUUGCUGUUUGUAGUGUACAUCCAUCCGAGCAGGCUACACUCCAGUGCCUAGGUUGUCUUAAGGGUAAAAUACCUGUUUCCAAAAGUUAUCAUUGCUCCCCAAAGUGUUUCUCAGAUGCAUGGCAGCACCACCGAGCGUUACUGUGAAGCCAUGCAUCUUGUAUGCCCCACAGUAAGGAAUUAAAAAACAGAUCUCUAAGUAUCUUGUAUGCACCACCGACGACGGUUAAAAAACAAUUACAUACCUCUUGUAAUUUGUCUCCAAGAGGUCCAAAGUGAUCAUUAUGAUGAAUUUUUUGCUCCUGAACUGGACAAACAUGGCUAUUACGGUCUUUAUAAGAAAAAAACAAAUGAGGUGUAUAAUGGCAACAUAAAUACAAUUGAUGGUUGAACAACAUUUUUCCGUAGAGACAGAUUCUCACAUGUGAAGAAAUACCAGGUUGAGUUUAAUAAAAAAACGGGAAAUUUUAAUGAAGAACUUGGGUUUUUAUGUUAUCUUUGUUGGAACAUCUGUGUUCUGUUUAUUAUAAACUUUGUAAAUUUAUGGUAGUAGUAGUGUAAUACACAAUUAUUUUUGUUCACAGGAAGAUAUAUAUAAUAUAUUAAUUGGAAGGGUUCACUUUCCAUGAA